UACAGAGGGUGCGAGCGUUAAUCGGAAUUACUGGGCGUAAAGCGCGCGUAGGCGGCUUUGCAAGUCGGGUGUGAAAUCCCCAGGCUUAACCUGGGAACUGCAUUCGAGACUGCAUUGCUAGAGUAUGGGAGAGGGAAGUGGAAUUUCCGGUGUAGCGGUGAAAUGCGUAGAUAUCGGAAGGAACAUCAGUGGCGAAAGCGACUUCCUGGACCAAUACUGACGCUCAUGUGACGAAGCGUGGGGAGCAAACAGG
rnacentral:rRNA from 1 species